rnacentral:tRNA from 1 species
CGCCGAAGUAGACGAGGCGACGCGCCGUCUCGUCGCCGACGAGUCGCGGGAGGCGCUGCGUGCCGCCCCACCCCGGGACGAUACCGAGGUCGGUCUC